rnacentral:rRNA from 1 species
UGGGGAAUAUUGCGCAAUGGGGGGAACCCUGACGCAGCCAUGCCGCGUGAAUGAAGAAGGCCUUCGGGUUGUAAAGUUCUUUCGGUAUUGAGGAAGGUUGAUGUGUUAAUAGCACAUCAAAUUGACGUUAAAUACAGAAGAAGCACCGGCUAACUCCGUGCCAGCAGCCGCGGUAAUACGGAGGGUGCGAGCGUUAAUCGGAAUAACUGGGCGUAAAGGGCACGCAGGCGGUUAUUUAAGUGAGGUGUGAAAGCCCUGGGCUUAACCUAGGAAUUGCAUUUCAGACUGGGUAACUAGAGUACUUUAGGGAGGGGUAGAAUUCCACGUGUAGCGGUGAAAUGCGUAGAGAUGUGGAGGAAUACCGAAGGCGAAGGCAGCCCCUUGGGAAUGUACUGACGCUCAUGUGCGAAAGCGUGGGGAGCAAACAGGAUUGGAUACCCUGGUAGUCCACGCUGUAAACGCUGUCGAUUUGGGGGUUGGGGUUUAACUCUGGCGCCCGUGGCUAACGUGAUAAAUCGACCGCCUGGGGAGUACGGCCGCAAGGUUA